rnacentral:rRNA from 1 species
UACGUAGGUGGCAAGCGUGGUCCGGAUUUAUUGGGUUUAAAGGGUGCGUAGGCGGCUUUGUAAGUCAGUGGUGAAAUAUGGCAGCUCAACUGUCAGGGUGCCAUUGAUACUGCAGAGCUUGAGUACAGAUGAGGUAGGCGGAAUUGACGGUGUAGCGGUGAAAUGCUUAGAUAUCGUCAAGAACACCGAUAACGAAGGCAGCUUACUGGGCUGUAACUGACGCUGAGGCACGAAAGUGUGGGGAUCAAACAGG